rnacentral:rRNA from 1 species
AUUGAACGCUGGCGGCAUGCCUUACACAUGCAAGUCGAACGGUAACGCGGGGCAACCUGGCGACGAGUGGCGAACGGGUGAGUAAUGCAUCGGAACGUGCCCAGUAGUGGGGGAUAGCCCGGCGAAAGCCGGAUUAAUACCGCAUACGACCUACGGGUGAAAGCGGGGGACUCGCAAGAGCCUCGCGCUAUUGGAGCGGCCGAUGUCAGAUUAGGUAGUUGGUGGGGUAAAAGCCUACCAAGCCGACGAUCUGUAGCUGGUCUGAGAGGACGACCAGCCACACUGGGACUGAGACACGGCCCAGACUCCUACGGGAGGCAGCAGUGGGGAAUUUUGGACAAUGGGCGCAAGCCUGAUCCAGCCAUGCCGCGUGCGGGAAGAAGGCCUCGGUUGUAACG